rnacentral:rRNA from 1 species
AUUCCAGCUCCAGUAGCGUAUAUUAAUGUUGUUGCAGUUAAAAAGCUCGUAGUUGGAUUUCUGACUUGACGCGCCUGGCCCGCCUUGCAUUUCGCGGGUGAGUGCCGGAGCGCGUCGGUCAUCCUUCUAGAGAACGGCGCUACCCUUCACUGGGUCGGCGUCGCAAUCUAGAUCUUUUACUUUGAAAAAAUUAGAGUGUUCAAGGCAGGCUCGCGCUGUGAAUACAUUAGCAUGGAAUAAUAAUCUAGGACUUUGUUCCUAUUUUGUUGGUUUCUAGGAAUUAAGUAAUGAUUGAUAGGGAUAGUUGGGGGUGCUAGUAUUCAGCGGCCAGAGGUGAAAUUCUUGGAUUCGCUGAAGACUAACUUAUGCGAAAGCAUUCACCAAGGAUAUCUUCAUCA